AGUCGAGGGGUAACAGAGAGAAGCUUGCUUCUUUGCUGACGACCGGCGCACGGGUGCGUAACGCGUAUACAAUCUACCUUACACUGGGGGAUAGCCUUUAGAAAUGAAGAUUAAUACCCCAUAGUAUUAUUGAGUCACCUGAUUUAAUAAUUAAAGGUUACGGUGUAAGAUGAGUAUGCGUUCUAUUAGCUAGAUGGUGUGGUAACGGCACACCAUGGCAACGAUAGAUAGGGGCCCUGAGAGGGGGAUCCCCCACACUGGUACUGAGACACGGACCAGACUCCUACGGGAGGCAGCAGUGAGGAAUAUUGGACAAUGGAGGCAACUCUGAUCCAGCCAUGCCGCGUGCAGGAAGACUGCCCUAUGGGUUGUAAACUGCUUUUAUACAGGAAGAAACACUCCCUCGUGAGGGAGCUUGACGGUACUGUAAGAAUAAGGAUCGGCUAACUCCGUGCCAGCAGCCGCGGUAAUACGGAGGAUCCAAGCGUUAUCCGGAAUCAUUGGGUUUAAAGGGUCCGUAGGUGGAUAAUUAAGUCAGAGGUGAAAUCUUGCAGCUCAACUGUAAAAUUGCCUUUGAUACUGGUUAUCUUGAAUUAUUAUGAAGUAGUUAGAAUAUGUAGUGUAGCGGUGAAAUGCAUAGAUAUUACAUAGAAUACCAAUUGCGAAGGCAGAUUACUAAUAAUAUAUUGACACUGAUGGACGAAAGCGUGGGGAGCGAACAGGAUUAGAUACCCUGGUAGUCCACGCCGUAAACGAUGGAUACUAGCUGUUCGGUUUUCGGACUGANUGGCUAAGCGAAAGUGAUAAGUAUCCCACCUGGGGAGUACGUUCGCAA
rnacentral:rRNA from 1 species